UACGUAGGGUACAAGCGUUGUCCGGAAUUAUUGGGCGUAAAGAGCUCGUAGGCGGUUUGUCGCGUCUGCUGUGAAAACUCGGGGCUUAACCCCGGGCCUGCAGUGGGUACGGGCAGACUAGAGUGCGGUAGGGGAGACUGGAAUUCCUGGUGUAGCGGUGAAAUGCGCAGAUAUCAGGAGGAACACCAAUGGCGAAGGCAGCUCGCUGGGACGGUACUGACGCUGAGGCGCGAAAGCGUGGGGAGCAAACAGG
rnacentral:rRNA from 1 species